rnacentral:snRNA from 1 species
GUGCUUGCUUCAGCAGCACAUAUACUAAAAUUGGAAGGAUACAGGGAAGAUUAGUAUGGCCUCUGUGCAAGGAUGACACGCAAAUUUGAGGAGAGUUCCAUCUUUUC